rnacentral:rRNA from 1 species
UACGAAGGGAGCUAGCGUUGUUCGGAAUCACUGGGCGUAAAGCGCACGUAGGCGGAUUUGUCAGUCAGGGGUGAAAUCCCGGGGCUCAACCUCGGAACUGCCUUUGAUACAGCAAGUCUUGAGUUCGAGAGAGGUGGGUGGAAUUCCUAGUGUAGAGGUGAAAUUCGUAGAUAUUCGGAGGAACACCAGUGGCGAAGGCGGCUCACUGGUCCGGUACUGACGCUGAGGUGCGAAAGCGUGGGGAGCAAACAGG